rnacentral:snoRNA from 1 species
GUUGCAGCCUUGUCGAUCAGCCCUCGGUGACCUCCAUCACCUGCGGGCACCACAAGGCUGCAGAAAGCAAGUCAAAGAAUGAAAAGGCGUGGCUCCCGCAGGCUUGGGAGUGCCACGUGCGAUGUUCCUUGGACAGAGUCCUGCUUCCCACGGUGGUGGCGGCCCGUGUCGGUGGCCGUCACCUUUCUUGAGGCAGGUAGAGCAAAAACCAGGCAGCCAGAUAUUGUUUGGACCAGGGGAAGCUUUUCCUGCCAGGCACUGUCCGCUGCCACAGUA